AUACUUUCCUGAGCAUAUACUAAAAUUGGAACAGUACAGAAGAGAUUAGCGUGGCCCCUGCGCAAGGAUGACACGCAGCGGAAAGAGCAACAGCGCGUUUGU
rnacentral:snRNA from 1 species